UACGUAGGGUGCAAACGUUGCUCGGAAUCAUUGGGCGUAAAGCGCACGUAGGCGGCUCGUUAAGUCGGAUGUGAAAUCCCUGGGCUCAACCCAGGAAGUGCAUUCGAAACUGGCGAGCUUGAAUAUGGAAGAGGGUCGCGGAAUUCCCGGUGUAGAGGUGAAAUUCGUAGAUAUCGGGAGGAACACCAGUGGCGAAGGCGGCGACCUGGGCCAAUAUUGACGCUGAGGUGCGAAAGCGUGGGGAGCAAACAGG
rnacentral:rRNA from 1 species